rnacentral:rRNA from 1 species
GGGACACGUGGUAUCCUGUCUGAAUAUGGGGGGACCAUCCUCCAAGGCUAAAUACUCCUGACUGACCGAUAGUGAACCAGUACCGUGAGGGAAAGGCGAAAAGAACCCCGGCGAGGGGAGUGAAAAAGAACCUGAAACCGUGUACGUACAAGCAGUGGGAGCACGCUUAGGCGUGUGACUGCGUACCUUUUGUAUAAUGGGUCAGCGACUUAUAUUCUGUAGCAAGGUUAACCGAAUAGGGGAGCCGAAGGGAAACCGAGUCUUAACUGGGCGUUAAGUUGCAGGGUAUAGACCCGAAACCCGGUGAUCUAGCCAUGGGCAGGUUGAAGGUUGGGUAACACUAACUGGAGGACCGAACCGACUAAUGUUGAAAAAUUAGCGGAUGACUUGUGGCUGGGGGUGAAAGGCCAAUCAAACCGGGAGAUAGCUGGUUCUCCCCGAAAGCUAUUUAGGUAGCGCCUCGUGAAUUCAUCUCCGGGGGUAGAGCACUGUUUCGGCAAGGGGGUCAUCCCGACUUACCAACCCGAUGCAAACUGCGAAUACCGGAGAAUGUUAUCACGGGAGACACACGGCGGGUGCUAACGUCCGUCGUGAAGAGGGAAACAACCCAGACCGCCAGCUAAGGUCCCAAAGUCAUGGUUAAGUGGGAAACGAUGUGGGAAGGCCCAGACAGCCAGGAUGUUGGCUUAGAAGCAGCCAUCAUUUAAAGAAAGCGUAAUAGCUCACUGGUCGAGUCGGCCUGCGCGGAAGAUGUAACGGGGCUAAACCAUGCACCGAAGCUGCGGCAGCGACGCUUAUGCGUUGUUGGGUAGGGGAGCGUUCUGUAAGCCUGUGAAGGUGUGCUGUGAGGCAUGCUGGAGGUAUCAGAAGUGCGAAUGCUGACAUAAGUAACGAUAAAGCGGGUGAAAAGCCCGCUCGCCGGAAGACCAAGGGUUCCUGUCCAACGUUAAUCGGGGCAGGGUGAGUCGACCCCUAAGGCGAGGCCGAAAGGCGUAGUCGAUGGGAAACAGGUUAAUAUUCCUGUACUUGGUGUUACUGCGAAGGGGGGACGGAGAAGGCUAUGUUGGCCGGGCGACGGUUGUCCCGGUUUAAGCGUGUAGGCUGGUUUUCCAGGCAAAUCCGGAAAAUCAAGGCUGAGGCGUGAUGACGAGGCACUACGGUGCUGAAGCAACAAAUGCCCUGCUUCCAGGAAAAGCCUCUAAGCAUCAGGUAACAUCAAAUCGUACCCCAAACCGACACAGGUGGUCAGGUAGAGAAUACCAAGGCGCUUGAGAGAACUCGGGUGAAGGAACUAGGCAAAAUGGUGCCGUAACUUCGGGAGAAGGCACGCUGAUA